UCCCCAUAGCACUGCCCCAUAACACUGCUCCAUAGCACUGCCCCACACUACAGCCCCAUAGCACAGCCCCACAGUGUUGCCCCAUAGUACAGCCCCACAGUGUAGCCCCAUAGUACAUCCCCAUAGCACUGCCCCAUGGUACUGCCCCAUAGAACUGCCCCAUGGCACUGCCCCACAGCACUGCCCCAUAGUACUGCCCCAUAGACUGCCCCACAGCACUGCCCCAUAGUACAGCCCCACAGCACUGCCCCACGGCGCUGCCCCACACUACAGCCCCACAGCGCUGCCCCAUAUUACAUCCCCACAGUGUAGCCCCAUAGUACAUCCCCAUAGCACUGCCCCACGGCGCUGCCCCACAUUACAGCCCCACGGCGCUGCCCCACAGCACUGCCCCAUAGUACUGCCCCAUAGACUGCCCCACAGCACUGCCCCAUAGUACAGCCCCACAGCACUGCCCCACGGCGCUGCCCCACACUACAGCCCCACAGCGCUGCCCCAUAUUACAUCCCCACAGUGUAGCCCCAUAGUACAUCCCCAUAGCACUGCCCCACGGCGCUGCCCCACAUUACAGCCCCACGGCGCUGCCCCACACACCCCAUCUGCAGUGCAGAGAUAAGGGGUGGGGCCCCGUGGGGCCGCCGCCAUCUGUGCGGAAGGCAGCGUCGAUGUGGGGCAGGGAAGCUAUGGGGCAGCCCCACUGUGCCCCACAGAACAGAGCUGUGCCCCAUAGCACAGAGCUGUGCCCCAUAGCACAAAGUGGGCACAGUGCCCCAUAGCACUGAGCUGUGCCCCAUAGCACAAAGUGGGCACAGUGCCCCGUAGCACAGAGCUGUGCCCCAUAGCACAAAGUGGGCACAUGCCCCAUAGCACUGAGCUGUGCCCCAUAGCACAAAGUGGGCACAGUGCCCCAUAGCACAAAGUGGGGCGGUGCCCCAUGGCACAGAGCUGUGCCCCAUAGCACUGAGCUGUGCCCCAUAGCACAAAGUGGGCACAGUGCCCCAUAGCACAGAGCUGUGCCCCAUAGCACAAAGUGGGGCGGUGCCCCAUAGCACACAGUGGGCACAGUGACCCAUAGCACAGAGCUGUGCCCCAUAGCACAGAGUGGGCACAGUGCCCCAUAGCACAGAGCUGUGCCCCAUAGCACAAAGUGGGCACAGUGCCCCAUAGCACAGAGCUGUGCCCCAUAGCACACAGUGGGCACAGUGCCCCAUAGCACAGAGCAGUGCCCCGUAGCACAGAGCUGUGCCCCAUAGCACAGAGUGCGGCGGUGCCCCAUAGCACAAAGUGGGCACAGUGCCCCAUAGCACACAGCUGUGCCCCAUAGCACAGAGUGGGGCGGUGCCCCAUAGCACAGAGUGGGCACAGUGCCCCAUAGCACAGAGCUGUGCCCCAUAGCACAGAGUGGGGCGGCGUCCCAUAGCACAGAGCUGUGCCCCAUAGCACACAGUGGGCACAGUGCCCCAUAGCACUGAGCUGUGCCCCAUAGCACAGAGUGGGGCGGUGCCCCAUAGCACAGAGCUGUGCCCCAUAGCACAAAGUGGGCACAGUGCCCCAUAGCACAGAGCUGUGCCCCAUAGAAUAGAGCUGUGCCCCAUAGCACAGAGUGGGGCGGUGCCCCAUAGCACACAGUGGGCACAGUGCCCCAUAGCACACAGCUGUGCCCCAUAGCACAGAGUGGGGCGGUGUCCCAUAGCACAGAGUGGGCACAGUGCCCCAUAGCACAGAGCUGUGCCCCAUAGCACAAAGUGGGGCUGUGCCCCAUAGAAUAGAGUGGUGCCCCAUAGCACAAAGUGGGCACAGUGCCCCAUAGCACUGAGCUGUGCCCCAUAGCAUAAAGUGGGCACAGUGCCCCAUAGCACAGAGCUGUGCCCCAUAGCACAAAGUGGGCACAGUGCCCCAUAGCACAGAGCUGUGCCCCAUAGCACAGAGUGGGGCGGUGCCCCAUAGCACACAGUGGGCACAGUGCCCCAUAGCACACAGCUGUGCCCCAUAGCACAAAGUGGGCACAGUGCCCCAUAGCACAGAGCUGUGCCCCAUAGCACAAAGUGGGGCUGUGCCCCAUAGAAUAGAGUGGUGCCCCAUAGCACAAAGUGGGCACAGUGCCCCAUAGCACACAGCUGUGCCCCAUAGCACAAAGUGGGCACAGUGCCCCAUAGCACUGAGCUGUGCCCCAUAGCACAAAGUGGGCACAGUGCCCCAUAGCACAGAGCUGUGCCCCAUAGCACAAAGUGGGGCUGUGCCCCAUAGAAUAGAGUGGUGCCCCAUAGCACAAAGUGGGCACAGUGCCCCAUAGCACAGAGCUGUGCCCCAUAGCAUAAAGUGGGCACAGUGCCCCAUAGCACUGAGCUGUGCCCCAUAGCACAAAGUGGGCACAGUGCCCCAUAGCACACAGCUGUGCCCCAUAGCAUAAAGUGGGCACAGUGCCCCAUAGCACAGAGCUGUGCCCCAUAGCACAGAGUGGGGCGGUGCCCCAUAGCACAAAGUGGGCACAGUGCCCCAUAGCACAGAGCUGUGCCCCAUAGCACAGAGUGGGCACAUGCCCCAUAGCACAGAGCUGUGCCCCAUAGCACACAGUGGGCACAGUGCCCCAUAGCACAGAGCUGUGCCCCAUAGCACAAAGUAGGCACAGUGCCCCAUAGCACACAGCUGUGCCCCAUAGCAUAAAGUGGGCACAGUGCCCCAUAGCACUGAGCUGUGCCCCAUAGCACAGAGUGGGGCGGUGCCCCAUAGCACAAAGUGGGCACAGGGCCCCAUAGCACAGAGCUGUGCCCCAUGGAAUAGAGCGGUGCCCCAUAGAACUGAGCUGUGCCCCAUAGAAUAGGGCGGUGCCCCAUAGCACAAAGUGGGCACAGUGCCCUAUAGCACAGAGCUGUGCCCCAUAGCACAGAG
ensembl:lncRNA